AGAGUUUGAUCCUGGCUCAGGACGAACGCUGGCGGCGUGCUUAACACAUGCAAGUCGAACGGACGGACUCGAGAGCUUGCUCUUGAGGAAGUUAGUGGCGGACGGGUGAGUAACGCGUGGGUAACCUGGCCUAAAGAGGGGGAUAACACUGCGAAAGCGGUGCUAAUACCGUAUGAAACUGUCUGAUCACAUGGUCGGAUAGCCAAAGGAGAAAUCCGCUUUAGGAUGGACCCGCGUCUGAUUAGCUAGUUGGUGGGGUAACGGCCUACCAAGGCGACGAUCAGUAGCCGGCCUGAGAGGGUGAGCGGCCACACUGGGACUGAGACACGGCCCAGACUCCUACGGGAGGCAGCAGUGGGGAAUCUUCCGCAAUGGACGAAAGUCUGACGGAGCAACGCCGCGUGAAUGAAGAAGGCCUUCGGGUUGUAAAGUUCUGUCUUCAGGGAAGAAAAAAAUGACGGUACCUGAGGAGGAAGCCCCGGCUAACUACGUGCCAGCAGCCGCGGUAAUACGUAGGGGGCAAGCGUUGUCCGGAAUUACUGGGCGUAAAGAGCGUGUAGGCGGGAAUUUAAGUCAGAUGUGAAACCUUCGGGCUCAACCUGAAGCAUGCAUCUGAAACUGGAUUUCUUGAGGGUAUGAGAGGAAAACGGUAUUCCUAGUGUAGCGGUGAAAUGCGUAGAUAUUAGGAGGAACACCAGUGGCGAAGGCGGUUUUCUGGCAUACAACUGACGCUGAGACGCGAAAGCGUGGGGAGCAACAGGAUUAGAUACCCUGGUAGUCCACGCCGUAAACGAUGGGUA
rnacentral:rRNA from 1 species